rnacentral:rRNA from 1 species
AGUGAACGCUGGCGGUAGGCCUAACACAUGCAAGUCGAACGGCAGCACAGUAAGAGCUUGCUCUUACGGGUGGCGAGUGGCGGACGGGUGAGGAAUACAUCGGAAUCUACUUUUUCGUGGGGGAUAACGUAGGGAAACUUACGCUAAUACCGCAUACGACCUACGGGUGAAAGCAGGGGAUCUUCGGACCUUGCGCGAUUGAAUGAGCCGAUGUCGGAUUAGCUAGUUGGCGGGGUAAAGGCCCACCAAGGCGACGAUCCGUAGCUGGUCUGAGAGGAUGAUCAGCCACACUGGAACUGAGACACGGUCCAGACUCCUACGGGAGGCAGCAGUGGGGAAUAUUGGACAAUGGGCGCAAGCCUGAUCCAGCCAUACCGCGUGGGUGAAGAAGGCCUGCGGGUUGUAAAGCCCUUUUGUUGGGAAAGAAAAGCAGCAGGUUAAUACCCCGCUGUCCUGACGGUACCCAAAGAAUAAGCACCGGCUAACUUCGU